rnacentral:tRNA from 1 species
GUAAAUUCGACGGAACUACCAGUACUCCCUCCGAAGGCGGAGGCCACACGUUCGAAUCGUGUCGGGUGCGCCA